rnacentral:rRNA from 1 species
AUUGAACGCUGGCGGCAUGCCUUACACAUGCAAGUCGAACGGUAACAGGUCUUCGGAUGCUGACGAGUGGCGAACGGGUGAGUAAUACAUCGGAACGUGCCUAGUAGUGGGGGAUAACUACUCGAAAGAGUGGCUAAUACCGCAUGAGAUCUACGGAUGAAAGCAGGGGAUCGCAAGACCUUGUGCUACUAGAGCGGCCGAUGGCAGAUUAGGUAGUUGGUGGGAUAAAAGCUUACCAAGCCGAGGAUCUGUAGCUGGUCUGAGAGGACGAUCAGGCACACGGGGAAUGAGACACGGCCCAGACUCCUGCGGGAGGAAGCAGUGGGGAAUUUUGGGCAAUGGGCGCAAGCCUGAUCCAGCAAUGCCGCGUGCAGGAUGAAGGCCUGAGGGUUGUAAACUGCUUUUGUACGGAACGAAAAGCCCUGGGUUAAUACCCUGGGGUCAUGACGGUACCGUAAGAAUAAGCACCGGCUAACUACGUGCCAGCCGCCGCAGUAACAC